rnacentral:lncRNA from 1 species
CAGUGUUUACUUCAUUUUGUAAAACGGACAGCUCAUCAUUACUAAAUUCUCAGGUAAAUACCUUUUUCUACUGUAAUUUGGUGUUGAAUUUUGCGUGUGCUUGUUCUGUAUAUAUUGAAUUCAAUUUUUCUUCUUUUAAAGUGCUUGUAUUUGUUUCUAUGAAAUUUUUUUCUUUCCCUUUUUCUGUUUUCUUUUGGUUAAUUCCACACAAACAAUUGCUAGCGGCCAAAUGUUGGUUUAAUAAGGAAUGAGAUUGACGAGGUUACAUAUUUGUGGGUUGGUUAGUUACGAGAUUUAUAUUUGGUGUUACUUCCUUUAAUAUUAAUUUUAUUGAUCAAGAGAAAUCAUUUGACUUAAAACAUAUUGUACUAAACGAAUUAUCAAGGUACUUAACUAGCUAGUUGGGUAUGAUCUUAAACUUGUGAUAUGAGUGUCACUCAUGUUCAGCUAUGAUUGUUUCUUUAAUGUGAACACCUACUUUAAGUUGUACUCUGUUUACAGAAAUGUUCAAUAUAUUAUAUACAAAGCGUAUGCAGUAUACCAUACUAGAAAUUCCAUGGUCAAUAAUUUGGUAGGGAUGGUUAUAGCUUUUCUUUAUUUGUCAAGGACCUUAUUAAUUUCUUUCUUUUUUAUUUUAUUUUUGUGGCAUGUACACUUUAGUUUUUCUACAGGUGGAUUUAAAGUGUAUUUGGGUUUAUACUCUUUGGUGUAAAAAUUAUUUGGUACUAUUUUAACUAGCUAGAACGUUAUCCAAUUACUUUUCCUUUACAUAACGCUCACGUUAUAGUUGGUUCAUUUGCAUCUUGUCUUGUUUCUACCAAGUUUUAUGAAACAUUCCUGCUCCAUAAAAGAGUCACAUUUGUUAUUAAAAAAAAUUUGAUAAUUGUAAAAUUAAAAGAAUCCUCCUUUUAUUGGUUUUAGUAUAAAAUGAAUAAUAUCCUCAAGUUCAUCAUUAUAAUUUCAUUAUCAUGCCACCGCUACAUCGUAAAUUACACUUUAUUAUUUAGAGGUCAACAUGAAACAAAUAUACAUCCUUAAUAUUUUUAUUAGACUUUUUUUGUAGGUCGAAGGAACUGGUAAUUAUGGGAAGAUAACUUAGAGCAACUUUAUGGGUAUUUUCCCUUUAUUUUAUUAUUUAGAGGUCAACAUGAAACAAGUAUACAUCCUUAAUAUUUAUAUGGGACUUUUUUUGUAGGCCGAAGGAACUGGUGAUUAUGGGAAGAUAACUUAGAGCUACUUUAUGGGUAUUUUCCCUUCAUUUUGCACUUGUAAAAUGCUCUUACUGUCUAACAUAUAUCCUAUCCCUUUUCCCCCUAGUAUCAUGUUUUUUCCUUCUAGGUAUUGAGCUAAUCCCUCUCUGAUUUUUAUUGUUAACUCUCAAUCUCAAUCCAUUUGUUGAUUAUAUGUGCUGGACAUGGUAAUAACCUUAAUCCUUUUAAUCAAGGCUCUGAGAAUUUAAAGAAAAAGUUGAUCUGCUGAUUACUGUACUAUUAAGUGACAAUUUACUAGUAUUAAUCAUCAGCACUUGCAUCAGUGAGUGGAAAAUUGAAGUUGGGGGUGAGGACAGCAGUCAUAGUAGAACGAGUCUUACAGUAAUUGUGCUCAAUUUAAGACACUAUUGAGUGGUUCUUUGAUGAGAAAUCUUCACUGUAACCGAUUUAUCAAUCAUUUAUCAUAUCUUAUUUUUUUGUUCUGUUAUUCAAUUUCAUUACUUAUUCGUACACCUAAUGAUGAAUAUCUUUUUGGUUCUAUUAAAUUUUUGUUUAUUGGAUCAUGGGAAUAAUCGGUCAUUGGUUUGAUUGAAAGUGUAUUGUGGGGAGUACUAACAAUAGGGUGUAGCUGAAAGUGUAGAUCACUUGUUAUGUGCACUACUUUGAUUUGGUUUGAUAAUUCCUGUUCCGUGUAGUCCAUCAUGAGUGGGAGGAUCACUUGUUGGGUCUUACUUGUUGAUUUCUACCUGCAUCCCACUGUGUUUCACUUUUGUCUUCAAUGAUGGUGGUAUAUUGGAUGGAUUCAUAU